rnacentral:rRNA from 1 species
UGAGAGUUUGAUCAUGGCUCAGAGCGAACGCUGGCGGCAGGCCUAACACAUGCAAGUCGAGCGCCGUAGCAAUACGGAGCGGCAGACGGGAGAGUAACACGUGGGAACGUGCCCUUCAGUUCGGAACAACCCAGGGAAACUUGAGCUAAUACCGGAUACGCCCUUACGGGGAAAGAUUUAUUGCCGAAGGAACGGCCCGCGUCCGAUUAGCUAGUUGGUGAGGUAAUGGCUCACCAAGGCGACGAUCGUUAGCUGGUCUGAGAGGAUGAUCAGCCACACUGGGACUGAGACACGGCCCAGACUCCUACGGGAGGCAGCAGUGGGGAAUAUUGCACAAUGGGCGAAAGCCUGAUGGAGCAACGCCGCGUGAGUGAGGAAGGCUUUCGGGUCGUAAAGCUCUGUUGCCAGGGAAGAAUAAGGACGUGUUAACUGCACGUUCGAUGACGGUACCUGAGAAGAAAGCCCCGGCUAACUACGUGCCAGCAGCCGCGGUAAU